GGGGUCCAGCCCGAGAGUGAGCGGGGAGCUGUCUUCCUGUGGAUUCCCGGAUGUAGUCAGUUGCCCUGAUGGCGUACUGCUUGAAAGAAAGUGAUUUAUUAUAAAACCUGGACUUGUAAGAUAUUUUUCCUUUACUAUCCUUUCUAUUCUGGCAAUAAUCUAGUAUGGCAUGCAUGAACUGGGCGCUUAGGCCUGGUUGACGGGGACCCUCUCAGUGAUGUCACUUGGGGGAAGGAGGCAACAGAGACUGAAUGCUUGUCUGCUGCUUCUCCCUCUUAGGUCGGCCUUAGAUCUGGAACUGUUGAAGGAAGUCCCAAGGCCGUGAGUCCCUGACCUUUGGGAUGACUUGGCAUCUGGGUUUGCCGAUAUGUCUCCCCAAGAUUCUCUUGGUGUUAGUGGACAGCGGAGGAGCAGAGGAUGGAGAGGGAGUCCCCGCGGGAAGCGUCAUCUCCUGCCGUGACUCAGGGCAUCAUGGAUCAGCUCUUCACACAGGAGAUGAGAGGGAAGGAGCUGGGGCUGGGCUCCACGUCAGCUGGCUCUGAGUCUUGACAGCAGUGCCCCGAGAAGCCAUGGACAGGGAAGGCCAGCCCCGUGUCCCUCCGCUAUGCCUGGAAUGACCUUAGUGACCAAGACUGUUUCUCUAGAAUUGCAGCUGCGCAUCACUAUUCUCCCCCCUCCCCCAUCCAGUACACCUUAUAGACUCCCUGUGUCUGCCUUCUAAGUCCGUAACACGCCGUGUGCCCCCGAGGCUGGAUGUGGAGAAGUGGAUCACAGGCCAGUGUUGUUUCCCUGUGGGCCUCUCCCAUCGUGCUCCUGGGGCUUGGCACACAGGCUGCAGUCCGAGGUGUUGCGUUAGGACUGGGCUAGUAGCCGGCCCAGAUUCAGGCCCACGAAAGAGUGAAGGUCGAGGAACAGUCAGGCCAGGGCUUCGGAAGAGUGGCUGGCGACUGGGCUGGAGUGAGGCAGGCGUUGAUGUCAUUGAGGAAGCUGGGGAGGCCUGAGCUCUGGGGCCUGGCUUGUGAGUAAAUGCCUGCUUGUGUGGCCAGCUGUCCUAGUUUGCCUGGGAUUGAGGGAUUUCCCAGGACAUGGGACUUUCAUUGUUUAAUCCAGAAAGGUCCUGGGCAAACUGGGAUGAGUUGGUCAACUUACCUGGGGAGUAAAAUACGUGAUGUCGGCUUGAGAGGACAGGUUACUGAGUUACGGUGGGAGGGAGCAGGGUGAACGUGGGGCAGCUGCCAUGGGUGGACCUCGUGGGUAUCCUCAGGGUCAGGCUUUUGGAGAUAUUGUGGUAAAGCAGUAAUUGCAAUAAUGUGAUGGUGGUCUAAGGAUGUGCAUAUGGGAACUUUUUAAUUCCCGUGUUAUAAAUGGACAGGUCUCCAUGAGGAAAUAGGUCCCAAAGGCCAUGAUGAAAGGCUGGAGUUAAUUGUCCAAUUUCUGCAUUUGAAAUUGAACUUGCCUUGAUGAGUUGGACACUUUGAUGGGCUCUUCUGUGGGGGCAGGCGUUCUUUGUGGCUGAAGUAUUCACUCUGCCAGCCAGUUCCU
ensembl:lncRNA